ACGAACGCUGGCGGCGUGCUUAACACAUGCCAGUCGAACGGAAAGGCCCUGCUUUUGUGGGGUGCUCGAGUGGCGAACGGGUGAGUAACACGUGAGUAACCUGCCCUUGACUUUGGGAUAACUUCAGGAAACUGGGGCUAAUACCGGAUAGGAGCUCCUGCUGCAUGGUGGGGGUUGGAAAGUUUCGGCGGUUGGGGAUGGACUCGCGGCUUAUCAGCUUGUUGGUGGGGUAGUGGCUUACCAAGGCUUUGACGGGUAGCCGGCCUGAGAGGGUGACCGGCCACAUUGGGACUGAGAUACGGCCCAGACUCCUACGGGAGGCAGCAGUGGGGAAUAUUGCACAAUGGGCGGAAGCCUGAUGCAGCAACGCCGCGUGCGGGAUGACGGCCUUCGGGUUGUAAACCGCUUUCGCCUGCGACGAAGCGUGAGUGACGGUAAUGGGUAAAGAAGCACCGGCUAACUACGUG
rnacentral:rRNA from 1 species